GGAUCUGGCAGCAUCAGUGUCCGUGACAGGCAGCCCUUGGUGGGAGUUUAAUUUCUCGGCUUCCUGAAAGAUUUCCAAUAACGGCCGUGGAGCAGCAAGUAUCACAGCAGCUUCAGCCACCGAGCAAUCACCGACUCUUUGUGGAUCACACCAUAUUUCCUUUUGUUCAGCCAGCCUUAGGACGGGUAGUUUCCGUUCUGCUGACUGGACACUGUCCAGUAUACACGUUUAUAAGGCCCUGAAAGCAGCAGAUCUCACCUGCAUUGGAGGAUGAGACGCCACAUGAAGAAGAAAGAAGACGCCACAGACAGCAGCGCAGUACCACCUUCCAGAGAUGUGAGUGUGACCGUCUUUGACCUUCUAGCCCAGCUGCUUUCCCUGAAUGCAAUGCAUGAGCAGGCCAGGCAAAACUAGAGAGGGAAGCUGCCCAGCUAACCCACAGAAUUAUGAGAGAUAAAAAAUCAUUGUCUUAAGCCACUAAGUCUGUUAUGCAGCAAUAUAUAGCAUUCAUUCAA
rnacentral:lncRNA from 1 species